AGACACAAUUUCACAUUGUAGCCCAGCCUAGCCUGAAACUGAUUAUGUAGCACUAACUGGUUUUGAACUCACCCUUAUCCUUCUUGAUGGAAGUGCUAGUGAGGUAAAGGUUGGGCCACUGUGGUUGUACACAGCUAAAGUAGGUUGUGCGUGGUAGCAGUGGCUUAGUGCGGAGGAGGAUGAGACCAGCCUUGAUUUUGUACUGGGUUCAAGGUGAACCUGGACUACAUAGCAAGGCCAUAUCUUUUUGUUUGUUUUUGUUCUCACUAUGUAACCCAUGCUCACUAUGUAACCCUUGAACUCACAAAGAUCCACUUGCCUGGGCCUCUGGAGUAGAGUGCUAGGAUUAAAGGCAGCCCAUGGCCUGCUGCAAGACCACAGCUUAAAAAAAAACUGUGACAGAGCCAUGGAUAGAUAGUGGUGCAUGCCUUUAGUCCUAGCACUCAGGAGGCAGAGGCAGGUUGAUCUCUUUAAGUUUGAGGCCAGUCAUUGUGAGUUCCAGGACAACCAGAGCUACACAGUGAGACCCUGUCUUGAAAGAAAGAAAG
rnacentral:lncRNA from 1 species